UGGUGGCUUUUAGGGCUCAAG
rnacentral:miRNA from 1 species